UAAUUUGUGACGUGAGGGACCUGUCUAAAAGAACCUAUUAGUUUUGCCUAGGAGCAAGCUGGUUCUCUUUGGAGACGGGCUGCUCUCUGUUGUGUGCACUCUUCAAUAAAGAGCUUUGUGUUCGGACCUUGCUGGUGUUGCCUGUCUCUCUGCGGUCAGACAACGAACCGCGCCGUCUGGGGUUUGAGUCCCCGACAAAUCUGGCGACCACGAAGGGACCCGUCUGACUCUCCGGCAUAGGAUCAGACUCUAAAAGCAACGCAGCGCGCAUCCUCCAGCUUCGAGGAGCCUUGCCGAUGAUCUGAUUCCUCCGUCAGCGGUAAGGUGAAAAGUCCUGCUCCAAGGAUCCUGAGCAAACCUGCCAUUUGUUAAAACCAGGUGUCUGGGUCUACAUAAAAGUCCAUCAACGAAAUACUACUCUGGCCCCAUGCUGGAAAGGCCCUUAUUAAGUCCUGUUAAUUACCAACACCACUGUGAAGUGCCAAGGACUGACUGCCUGGAUCCAUGCUUCUUACUGCAAAAAGACGCCUCCACCUCGAGAUGACUUCAUUCGAUACUGCUAGGCCUGUCCCUCCUUCUGGGUUUUUUUCUUUCCUCCUUUUGAUCAGCAGGGGAAAGGACAAGGUGAAGUGCUAGUAACCUCUCCCUUGUCCACUGACAGAGCUAACCUGCAUUGCACCGCUAGGGAACCUGACCUGGAAAAAGCUUCCCCAGAAGCAGAUGGCUUCGGACUUCGAGGGAGCUAUGCACGUUCACUCCACCGUGAACUGUGUGAAUCAGAAGCAGAUGACAUCUGUGCUCAAGACAAAUGGACUGCCACCCCUUUGGGCGACCUGAAGCUCCGACUGCAGCUAAAAAAACCUUGAGUUGGUGGUGUCCACUCAGAGAAGGAUGGCCCCAUUCUCUAAGAUGGGUUUAUGUAUUUUUAAUCUGUUUAUUAUUUGUUAUCUUUAUUUCUUUGGUGGUACGGGGAGUUGAGACUAUAGAAUCACACAGAUCUAACACAUUUAUACAUCUUGCCCAUGAAAUGAAAGCUCGUAUGCCAGCCCUACAAAAUACUUCAUGCUGGGUGUGCUCAUUAAUACCAGCAGAUAGCC